UGGUGGAGUCACUCAGAAUUGAACUGAGUUCCACUGCUUGCAAGGCAGUAAGUUUAACCAAAUAACCUAUGACCCC
rnacentral:tRNA from 1 species